AGGAUAUACCCCUAAUCUACCGAUGUUUUCCACUGCGUCAGGUCCGGCCUGUGUGGAUUUUUCGCCGGCGCCAGGUGUGGAAAUGUCCGCCGAACUGGCCGGAUUUUACGUCGGUUCAUUUUUUUCAUUGAUGAACUUUUACCUUUCGGUAAUUAUUUAGAUUAGAGUGACUCUAAACGACUGAAAAAACAUUCUUAGAUGUAUUAUUGAUAGAUUGCUCUGUUAAUAUUUGAGAUAACUUUAUUAGAUGUUCUGUACUAUUCACUAUCCUAAUGGAUAGCAAUUUCGUGUUCGUCGCCAGAUUGAUGUUCGCCUCUUGUGUUUGUGUUUGUUUUUAUUUUUGUGCUGUGUAUUUGCUGGUUCGAAUAGUUGAAUAAGGCGAGGCUAAAUUUGAAAAUAUUUGUCAAUGAUACAUCGCACUAGAACAUAUGUAGUUCCGAUUUUUGUUUUUAAUCUGACUGACAUACGUCGAAACCGUUUGUUUAUUCUUCACUUUGACUAACUAUUUUAAAUAUAUUUAUUUUAUUAAUUGUAUGAUGAGCCUUGAAAAAAGAACAAGACGUUCCGAAACGUUGGCAAAAUCAUAGUUGAUUAUUUAUUUCUGUCCAAAUUCCUGUGAUAAAUUGCUUAAUUUAUUAGAUGUGAUUGCAAAAUUGUACUGUUUGGAGUGUCACAAAUUCCCGAAAUUUUAUGCAUUACAAAUGGUUUCAAAACUUGUACAAUUCUUAUAUUGAUUUGACAGAAAUGUGCAACAUAACCAAACUCCUUCGAAUCUUCGGAAAAAAUAUUUAACUACUUAUCCAAUUCAGUAACUAUUUAGAUUAGAGUGGGACAUAACUCUAAACGUCUAAAAAACAUUCUUAGUUUUAUUAUUGAUAGAUUGCUCUGUAAUAUUUGAAACAUGUAACUUUAUUAGAUGUGAUUGAAAAUUGUAUUGUUUGAAGUUCCACAAAUACCCGAAAUUUCAUUCAUUAAAAAUGGUUUCAAAACUUGUACAAUUCUUAUAUCAAUUUGCCAGAAAUGUGCAAUAUGAGCAAACUUACAUAUAGGUACUCUGCAAAAACUAAACUAUUUAUUUCAUUUUUAUUUAUUUAUUUUUUGUUUGUUAAAUUUUAGAACGACAUUGUUUCCAUAAAACUUAAUAGUUAGUUAUUAUUGUUGAUUUUAUUUCGUGGAAAAUUUUUGAUAAAAUAUAUGUUUUUAUUUC